rnacentral:rRNA from 1 species
UACGGGGGGAGCAAGCGUCGUUCGGAUUUACUGGGCGUAAAGGGCGCGUAGGCGGCCACCGCAAGUCGACUGUGAAAUCUCCAAGCUUAACUUGGAAACUGCCAUGGAUACUAUCUGUCUUGAAUACCGUGGAGAUGAGCGGAAUAUGUCAUGUAGCGGUGAAAUGCUUAGAUAUGACAUAGAACACCAAUUGCGAAGGCAGCUCGUUACACGAAUAUUGACGCUGAGGCACGAAAGCGUGGGGAUCAAACAGG